UCUUAUAAUCUUUUUCCGAUCGAUCUUUAUCUCUCUUUCUCCUGACCGCUUGCUCUAGCCCUAGCACUAGUUGUACCCGAUCGCUAGCCUCCCUGGCAAGCUCACCCAAUCACCAGCGCUAGGGGUAGCAAUCCUCCUUGGCCGGAGACGGGAGACACCACAUGGCAGGAAAGAGGAGAAGAAAGCCAUGCCAAGGGGAGGCCUCAUGCCCACCACUCACCGGGAUAGUGCGAUUUCAAUCCAUGGAAGAAAAGCUGAAGGUGAAAUGAGGCAGAUUAUCCUCCUUGUUGGCUUGCAAGUUGCACCUGAUUUUCAUAAAAGGCCCUGACUGCUGUGAGUCCUGUACGGAGGAGAUGAGAAGCAAAGUCCUGCUGAUGCUGUGGGCGCUUGAGGAAUGGUGUUAUUGUUCGCAGGAAGGUUGAUGGUAGUACCAUUGGCGCCUCGGCGCAGAAUUAUAAUGCAGACUUUCUUGUCAGGCAGAUUGUUAUUCAUCAGAUGAGUUGUGGACCUGCAAAUAAAUUUUUGAAUAUGAUU